rnacentral:rRNA from 1 species
CUAGCGACUUCAGAGUUUGAUCCUGGCUCAGGACGAACGCUGGCGGCGUGCUUAACACAUGCAAGUCGAACGGGGAUCACCGAGCGGAAGGCUUCGGCUGGAAGGUUGGUGAUUCCAGUGGCGGACGGGUGAGUAACGCGUGAGCAAUCUGUCCCAGACAGGGGAAUAACACUUGGAAACAGGUGCUAAUACCGCAUAAGACCACGGUGUCGCAUGGCACAGGGGUAAAAGGAGGGAUCCGGUUUGGGGUGAGCUCGCGUCCGAUUAGCCAGUUGGCGGGGUAACGGCCCACCAAAGCGACGAUCGGUAGCCGACCUGAGAGGGUGAUCGGCCACAUUGGAACUGAGAGACGGUCCAA